AGUGGCGGACGGGUGAGGAAUACAUCGGAAUCUACCUUUUCGUGGGGGAUAACGUAGGGAAACUUACGCUAAUACCGCAUACGACCUUCGGGUGAAAGCAGGGGACCUUCGGGCCUUGCGCGGAUAGAUGAGCCGAUGUCGGAUUAGCUAGUUGGCGGGGUAAAGGCCCACCAAGGCGACGAUCCGUAGCUGGUCUGAGAGGAUGAUCAGCCACACUGGAACUGAGACACGGUCCAGACUCC
rnacentral:rRNA from 1 species